rnacentral:rRNA from 1 species
GAUGAACGCUGACGGAGUGCUUAACACAUGCAAGUCGAUGGGAAAGUGGUGCUUGCACCAUGGUACCCAUGGCGGACGGGUGAGUGACGCGUAAGAAACUUGCCUGCGUGACUUGGAUAACAGCAGAGAACUGCUGAUAAUACCGGGUAAGGUCAUUAAGCUGCCUUGCUGGGUGAUGAAAGGAGGCGCCUGCGGGGAGCCGUGCGUCCUAUUAGCUAGUUGGGGGGGUAGCGGCCCACCAAGGCGAAGAUAAGGAGCCGGCGUGAGGGGGUGGACGGCCACGAGGGGACUGAGAUACGGCCGUUACUCCUACGGGAGGCAGCAGGGGGGAAUAUUGGACAAUGGGGGCAACCGUGAUCCAGAAAUUCUGUGUGCACGAAGACGGUUUUCGGAGUGAAAAGCGCUUUCAGCAGGGAAGAAGGAAGUGACGGUACCUGCAGAAGAAGCGACGGCUAAAUACGUG